AUUGGGGGAGAGAUCCACUCGUUUGGUGAGGUCACCAUUGAGGCAGAGAUUGAUGUGCAUGGUAUAUAAUGGUAUAUAAUCCCUAUUUCCUACAAAAGGACGGUGGGAUAUGUCAGCACUAUGUAAGCAAUGGUUAGUGACCUGAGGCAAAAUGGACAUGGCUUCACCUUGUGUUUAUCCAACUUCCUCAGCUAGUGUAUUAGGCAGGAUUUACCUCAGAAAAAGUUUGAAUUCAAAUAUAUUUAUUUUCUAGCUGAAUAUACUAUGAAUAAUUAAAGAACAGACAAUAUCUCUCCAUUAUAAACCUUUAGAUUAGGCCCGCUCCGCACCGACAUGUGGGUGAGUUUAACAAUAGCUGAGGUGAUACAAGUAUUCAGCAGAUGGCGCCAGAAUUUCAGGGAAAAGGUUGUUAAUCAAAAUAAAGUGCGUACAAAGAUCGUGUUAUUUUGGGUGGGGAAUGAAAAGAAUCAGUAGCUAUAAUAUCAGGUUUGGCAAAACAGAGAACACACUUUAUGUUGUCCCAUCUCUGAAGGUAAUCGAGUGAACACGACGCUAUUGUUUGCUUAGCCAAUUAGCCAUGAUGCCAAACAGGAUACAGACUGAGGCAAACGGCAGGUGGCAGAGCUGGAAGAAGAGUUGCCCUUGUGUAAAGAAGACCCGAAAAUCCGCUCUAGCAGCUUAAGUUUGGCUACCUACUCAACCAGCCACCACCCUCACUAAACAGCCGCUGCUUGUCUGACUGAAACAGCAUUUCUGCUGUUUGUGUUGAUUAUGUUGUGAUUGUACCGACUGUGGAGCUUACGUUUCAUCCAUGUUUCUAAGAAAACUCUGCUGAUGCGACAGAAGAGCUUGAGAUCGCUUUUAUUGUUCAGAGUACGCGGCGGGUAAGAGACUUUAACGCUGUGGGCAAGUUUAGAUGUAGAGUGCGCAGGCGCAGUAGCCGCUACCACAAAGACUGUGCCACAUAUUGCCACCCCCAUGCUGUGUCGUGGCCUGUGGCGUCACUGCCUCCAAAAUCACUGGACAUUUUAAUGACCAUAACCAUCAACAGUGAGUACUGCCUGUGCUAUAUAACUGUUGUCACUGUUUUCACCAAUCAUUUCUCCUGGGAAGUUUUUACUGUAGAAAAAGAAUCUGACACUGACCAACUGAUUAGAGGAAAAUAGUAAUUGUCACGUGAUGCCCAGAAAGUGCUCCAUCCCUGCUCUGAUGGUCAGAUUCAUAUGAGAGGAGACCCUUUCAGCAAUUUCAGUGUCAAAAACAAAAUUUGCUUAAAGAGUGACAGUCAAGGAGCAACCUGCAGUUAAAAUUAUCUGUUAUAUUAUUAUGGGAUGCAUAAAAUCCAAGCAAGAUUGUACUGUGCACAAAACUAUUCAAUUGACGAGAAACCAGGAGAAGGAUGAGAUGCACAAUAAAGAGUUGGUUGGUUUGGUCCAAGCUAACCAGGAAGACAGUAAACUGUGUUCAUGCUCUGCUAGUCCCCUACUGUUGGAGUAUGCCCACCGGCUAUCAGAAGAUAUUGUAAACAAGGCUGUGAGACAGUGGGCAGAAGUGGACAGCAAGUACAGUGAUAUUCCAUAUAUAGAGAGCGAUGCAAUAUGAACUGUCAUAUAAAUGAGACACUCACAUUUUUCUUCGCCAUCAAUGGGUUUGCAACUAAUUUGUUUAGUAGGAAAAUUGUUAAAGACAAUUCAAAUGGAUUUUAUAAUAUACUCCUUGGAAUGUUCCAAAUGUAAAAGAACCCCAGUUUAACAGUGAGACAUGAAGAUAUGGCUAACAUGGUUAACUGAAUUAGUCCUCUUGCUGUCCUCUUGAACUAUGCAAAGCAGUUCAUAGCAGUUCAUGUUUGGGCUGUCUCAAUUAACCAGAAGAAUACAAUACGAAAUCCUUAGGUAGCUGAUGGGAAAUAAAUUUCAGUUCAUUACACUGAAGCAUCUAGUUGAAAUGAUUUCAUUUUAAACAACUGUGAUGUUAUAAUGCAAGGAGUUUGAGUGUUCUCCCUUUGCCUGGGUUUACACGAAAACAUGAUGGCAAGUUAAUUGGAUUCUGAUACAACUGAUUCUAGUCUGUGCAAAUGCAAUAGGGCCGUAGACUGUAAGCUCCACUGGGACAGGGACUGAUGUGAAUGAUGAGCAAUCUCUGUAAAGCACCGUGUAAAGGAAAAUAAAUGAAAGUUCAAUGACACUUAAAACAGAUUCACGUGUCAAGGGCAUGUAAAGGAGUAGUCUGGCAUAAAAAAAAGCUGGAAUUCACAUUUUUUACAGUGAAAGAAGAAAGGUUCUUUGGCAGCCAGCGGAUUAACUAGAUCUUUAAAUUUGUGAAUUCAUAGUUCUUACAUGUAUCCAAUUCGUAUAAGGAGAGAAAAAGAUAUUCUCUGUCUUUUCCCCAUUAUAUUUAAAAUCGUUCUAAUCAGACAGGAUAUAGUCAUAAACAUAUUGAAGGUAUAAAAGCAACUCCGAAGGACAAAAUUGUAACCCCCCCCUCCCUUAACAGAUGGCGUCUACAUAAUCAUGUCAGUUGCAUAGUACAAACAAAAAGAACUAUAACAGAUGGAUACAGAUUAAUAGUAGAUUUUAUGGGCUCAUAAACAGCAGUUCCUAUAGAGGCAUUUUUUAAAAAAUAUUCUUUCCCAUAAUCCUCUGGAAUGCAGCUGACUGCUCUAGUGGUUGGCAUUGUUGUUUGACCCUUUCACUGCCUGCUGAUUUUUCACGUUCAUAUACAUCUACUGCCAAGCAAUUUUUGCUCAUUUUACAGUUGAUUAUGUUUUUCCACAGGUAAACCUCCAAGACUAAUUAUAUAUCAUCAGAACAAACUGGGAUAUUGCAUUCAGUUUUGUAAUUUGACAUGUAACACAAAUUUAGGCAAAAAAUAUAUAUUAUUAUAUGUUUUAUUGUAUAAAUAUUUUGUGUUUUUUUAUCCAAGAAAAAUGUUUACGUUUGUUUCUUCUGAAUAUAUAGAUACCAAAUAUGUGGUUUGCUUGUCCAGGAGACACCCCAAAAAUAAUACCGUUUUUGUAGGAUUUUACAGUAAAACCAUAUGGAUAAGCACAUCUAUUGGUUAAUGUGGCAUAAGUAACUAACUAUGUUGUACUAAAAAUACCCCAUUAGUUUGGUACAUACCUCCAGGUUUUAGAUGUAGCAUAGUUCCUGGUAUAAAUGUAGCAUUUUUUUUUUUUAAUUUAAAAAUACUGUUUAAUCCAAGCCAAAUAUGAAAAGGCAAAUUUCAUUGUUUUUCAUUGUGUAUCCUGAGGCAACACUGUUUUUAUUUUUUACAUUUUCCUAAACUAUAAGUGCUGGCACUUUUUGGGAAUUCUGAUUUAUUUAGCAAAACGUCCAGAGGAGAAUGGAAUAAGAGACCCGGAAAGACCUAGGGCAUUUUUAUUUUUUUUCCUAAACUGUAACAAAUUAAAAACCUUCACAAUAAUGAAGGUGUUUGCCACUAUGCAUUUAUACGGUAAAAAAAGUAAUUAAAAAAUGUAGUACAGGUAUACAGAUAGUCUCUGCAAUGUAUCUAAAGUGUGCACACAAAAAAGCCUGUGGCAUCAGCAGGAGAGAAUAAA